CGUCACUUCCAGGCGUGGUACAGUAGAAUGUGUGAUGUGCGUGUGUUACUGAAAAUGGCCGUACGUGCGGGUCCGUCUAGUUUACUGAUUUCACGCACGAUAGUUUUCACAUUCUUUCAAAUAUUUGGAUUUUGAACGGUGGAUUUCUUGAUGAUACGUGCAAUCAGUGUGAACAGUGGAAUCUGAAGAUUUUUAGUGGAUCAUCGGUGAUAUUAGUCGAGACGAAGUGUGCCUAUUUCGUGGUGGAUCAUUAAAAGAGAAGCUUGAUAUAUAUUGAGAGUAAAAGUAGAAAAUUGUUAAUGAUGGGUUUCAUUCUUUACAUUUGCAUUACUAUUUAUUUAAAAAAUAUAUUUGCUAAUUAGUGGAUAUUGACUAUAUGGUGUCAAGAUGUGGGAGAGAUUUGGUACAAUCCCCUGGUAUAAAACAGGGAUAUAAGCCAAAUAUAUGUUUUAGAAUGUUUUCUAUUCUAGUAGAAAAUAUGUUAAAAUAAUGGAAAGUAUGCAAAAGUAUAUAUAAGGGAAAGAUGAUUUUAUGCAUCUUGUAAUGAUUUCAUAUAACAAUGAAUUUAAGAACUACAUAAGAUUUAUGUUUAAAUGUAAGGUACAUAUUUGUUGCUAAUGAUAAACAUUAUUGAGUUUUAUGACAUAAUGUAAUAGAAGUGUAAUUUUUAUACAUGCGAAUAUAUUAAAUAAGAAUCACAAAAAUGUCAUUCUUAUCAAAUUUAAAAAAGGCAUUCCACUUCGGUGGAAAUGACGCGAAGAAAAAGAAAUUGUACAAUAAUAUUAAAAUGGAUUGUAACCCAGAAGAAUUCUGGGAAAUGAUAGGUGAAUUAGGAGAUGGGGCAUUUGGGAAAGUUUAUAAGGCACAGCACAGGCAAACUCAUCAGCUUGCUGCUGCAAAAAUGUGUGCACUGGAAGGAGAAGAUGAUCUUAGUGAUUUUAUGAUCGAGAUAGAUAUUUUAUCAGAGUGUAAACACCCAAAUGUUGUUGAAUUACAUGAAGCAUAUUUUAUUGAGGGUAAACUAUGGAUGUUAAUAGAAUAUUGUGAUGGUGGUGCUGUUGAUUCUAUAAUGGUUGAAUUGGCAAAAGCUUUAACAGAACCACAAAUAGCCUAUAUAUGUCAACAUAUGACCAAAGGUCUUGCAUUUUUACACAAAUCUAAAGUUAUCCAUAGGGAUUUAAAGGCGGGAAAUGUUUUAUUAACAAUGGCAGGGGGAGUAAAAUUAGCUGACUUUGGAGUAUCUGCAAAAAAUAAGCAUACUUUACAGAAACAUGACACAUUUAUUGGAACACCAUAUUGGAUGGCUCCAGAAGUAGUGUUAUGUGAGACAUUUAGAGAUAAUCCUUAUGAUUUUAAAGUAGACAUUUGGUCACUUGGUAUUACUUUAAUCGAAUUUGCGCAAAUGGAACCACCAAACCAUGAAAUGUCUCCAAUGCGCGUUCUUCUUAAAAUACAAAAAAGCGAUCCACCAAAACUUGAUCAACCCGGAAAAUGGAGCAAAGAUUUUAAUGAUUUUAUUGCAAAAGCCCUUAUAAAGGAUCCAACGUCGCGACCUACAGCUGAUGAGUUGUUGAAACAUCCGUUUAUAAAUCGUAAUUUGGAUUCAAAACCAAUCAGAGAUUUGUUAUUGGAAUAUAAAGCUGACGUUGUUGAGGAAGAAUUGGUUGAUGAAGAAACAGAGAAGGCCAAAAAAGCGAAAAAGCACAGAGAACAGUAUCAACGGAUUGGCUGUGCAUGCGGCUCUCCUGGGCCUCGCCAGCCCCAUCAUCCCUGCGUUUGUCAGGAGCAACGUACAUCUCAGCUUCCUCUGGAGCUGGAUCAACUCGGAGAUGACUCUGCGUCUAUGCGCAGUGACGCUGAUGUUCAGAUUUCUGAAAAGGAAAAUCUUGUUGCAUCACCUGUGUCAGCGAAAAAAGAAGAAAAUCAUAAACGAGAAAUUAACAGAGAUGGUGAAAAGGAGGAUAGAAACAAGAAAUUACGUAAAGCAGAAUCAAAAGACAACAUACCUGUUUCUGUUGAGAAAAAACAAGCACCUAAGCCUCCUAGUACAAAUGAAACAAACGAACGUAGGGUAUCUCGAGAAAAAGGGCCUGCACCUCCUCCGCCACUUAUGCGACAGAAUAGUAAAAUUGAAGAUAAGGAAAAUAAUUUGAAAAUGAUUGAUAAACAAAGCGACGCAGAAGUAUUAAAUGAAUGUAAGAUUACUGAUAAGCAACAGAGAGACAAAAAUGAACCGUCUCAGUCUGCUCAGGAAAUGGUAGGUAAGGAACAAACAAGUGUAGACGCGCUCUCCGAGAAAACAAGCGUACUACCUAGUUUAGAAAAGAAUGUACCAGAUAAUAAUGAAAGAGAGAAGAAUAAGAUAGAUGAUGUAAACAAAGGUGAUAUCAGGCAAAGAUCUGUAGAUAAUAAGACGAAUUCAUCACCGAGAACGCAAUUAUCAUUAGAAGAGAAAAGGAAAUCAGCACCAGUUAAAUUAGAAUUGGCCGAAGACUGGACGAAACCAGUAUUCAAUAAACAAUCGUCUUUAGAAGAAAAGAACAGAAUUGAAAAGAAAACACCAGGUGAUAUACAAGUUAAAGGACAAUCUUCAUCAGAAGAAAAUUAUAAGAGUUUACAAGAAAAACGAAAAUCUGUAGAGCAAAAGUUAAAUGCAGUUUUAGAGAAACGGUUUUCGAUGGAUACUGAAAUGCGAAUGAGUGUUUCUUCUAUGGAGACGUUAUCUCAACGAGAUCUAACUGCAAGCGCAUCCGAAAAAAAUAUCGUUAAAGCAUGUUCUACUGAAGAUGUUAAAACUGAUUAUGGAACAUCUAAACCAGAAUCUGUUGUCAAAAGCCAUAGUGAAGGAUCUUCCAGAUACGUUUCGUUAGAAAACUUUUCGGACGAAUUUGACGGGAAACGGGAUAAAAAAUGGCCAAGUAAAGAACACAAUUACGAAAAUAUGACGAGCAACAGCGAUAACGUAAACUGCGAGAAAAAAGGUUCUUCAGUGAAUGUAUCAGUAAUUACAUCAACUCCCAUUAGAAAUGCUUCGAGAAGAAGCAGCGGUGAUAAUGUAGUUGUCAUUACCGGUAAAUCCGACCAAGAAAUACGUCCAAAUACAUCAACCGUCCGGAUUACAGCAGAUAGUCCAGAUUUAUCGAAUAGUCUUGCGAGCAACGUUAGUCAAGUAACUGUAGUAACGACGCAUCCUCCGGUUCUCGUCGAUGCUGUGUCACUGGCGGCAAAUCCUUCUUGUCGUCAACCUCCUCCAACAUCGGAAGUUGUUAUUGUAGCGAAUGAAUUAAACAAAACACAAGUGAAUGAAAGUUCAACCGACGAUGACGGCUUUCCCAGUUUAGAUAGUUUAGAGUACAUGCCCCAGGAGCAACCUAUAAUUCUUACAGACGUUUCUAAAAGAGUUGGCAAGAAGUUAGAUGAAUCCGAGGUUCUCAUUGUGAGUCCGAUCAUAGACGAAUUACAGGACACUAGUCACGUUUCUGUCGUUACCGUCGGCGAAGAUAAGGAACAAGUGAAAGAUUCCUCGAUACUUAAUAAACACGAAACCGUACGAACUUCUUCUUCUCACAGUGACGCAAGCUUAAUUGAAAUGUCGAGUACAAAAAGCGAUAGCGGAGAUGAAAUUACUAAAAUGAUAGUUGCUGGGACGACUAUAGAAUCCAUAGAUAUCGAUGAAGUGGAAAGAAGUUCCAAGAAAAUGAAUGGUUUGUUGAAGAACGAUAAAUCUGCAAUGGUUACUCCUAUGGACGAGAAAACGUUAAAAACGCUUAAACCAAAAGAAGUAAAUAAAGGAUACAAAGAGAAAAGAGUAUCUCCGGAUAGCUUCGAAGGAUCUAGAUCUCAAAGUGAAUCUGGAUCGACAAGAUCGCAUACGCCCAGUAAGAGCAUAGAUCGCUCCGAUGCUGAAUCUAUUUCUACCACGAUAAGUCAGGAUAGUAGGGAAUCCAGCAAGGAAAAUCAUCUAAGUCAAGGACAAUCGGCGGAAGUGGACGAGGAAGUAGUAUUGCGACGGAAGCCCGAUUAUAAUCGUGAUAUACCACGACCAACAAGAACGAAAGAAGAUAUUCAAAUGAUGAAUUUGAAGAAAAAGACGAGAAAGCGAACUAGAAAGUUUGAGAUCGAUGGUGUCGUAGUUACUACGACGACAUCGAAGGUAAUUUACGGCGAUGAUGAAAACGGUAAAGUUUACGAUGAUCAAAUUUUUAGGAAGCAAGAGUUAAGGGAAUUAAAGAUGCUACAGAAAAUGGAGCAGAAACAGUUUCAGGAUUUAUCGCAAAAGGCGCAGUUUAACAAAGAUCAACAAGAGAAACGUUUCGAGCAAGAGAGACAACUUUUGGAAAGAAAUGCUGAAACUGAUCUGGAAACGCUCGCUCGGCAACAGAGGCAACAAAUCGAACGAGCGGAAGCGCAACAGGAGGCCGAUCUUAGGCUCGCUUCGAAAAAGAUUCGCAGUGAGCAAGAAAGGGAAUUGAAACAGUUCCGUGAGGGAUUGAAACAGGAACUAAAGUUACUUAAGCAUGAAGUAGAUUUAAUGCCGAAAGACAAGAGGAAGAGUGCAUUUAAGAUACGCAAAGAAAAAUUGGAGGCUGAACACGAGGAAAGGGAAAAGCACUUUUUAGAUAAGCUUAACGAAAGUCAUGAACUAUUGUUGAGAAGAUUAUCCGAUAGUCAUCGCGAGAAAAUUGCUUUAAUGGAAAGGCAAUUUUUGCAGCAGAAACAACAGUUGAUGAGAGCUCGAGAGGCAGCGAUUUGGGAGCAAGAAGAACGGCACAUCCACGAGAAACAGCAGCUGUUGAAGAAACAGCUAAAGGAUAUUUUCUUUUUACAAAGACACCAGAUGCUGAUACGUCAUGAAAAGGAAUUGGAACAAAUGAAAAGAAUGAAUCAACGAAAAGAGGAGGAACUGAUUAAACGACAGACGGUGGAACGUAGAAAUUUGCCGAAAAGAAUUCGCAACGAGAUGAAGGCACGUGAAAUGAUGUUCAGAGAAUCUAUGAGGAUUUCUAUGUCGUCGAUUAUCGCGCCGGAUCCUGAUGCUGAAAGAGAGAAAUUGAAAAAAUUCCAAGAGAACGAGAAAAAACGAUAUAGAGCCGAGCAGCAAAGAUUUGAACUAAAGCAUUCGCGGCAGUUGGAAGAGGUAAGAGCGCAAAGCGAUGCCACGAUCAAAGAACUGGAACAGUUGCAAAAUGAAAAGAGAAAGAUGUUGAUGGAACACGAGACAUUGAAACUAAAGGAAUUAGAAGAGGCGUAUGGUAAAGAGCUUCGUGAAUGGAAAGGGCAACUCAAGCCACGAAAACAGAAGUUAGAAGCUGAGCUGACGGCUGAAAUGGAAGCAUUGGAAGCUCGUUACCGAGACUAUUUGCCCUCGAGUCGUAGUGGUUUCUCUUCUCCCCUUUUAUGUAUAGAUUAUUCUCUCUUUUAUUUUGAAAGUUGGAAGAAAUCUCCGCGUUUGCCCCGCUCUACUCCAACGUCUCCUUCUCCAUUUACCAUUCCAAGGGUGUCUCUAAGAGUUAGUAGUUCGGACACCGGCUCCAUUAAUGGCAUGCUAUCACGAAGUCGAUCCAAACCAGAUCUGGUACCACCUCCUUCGUCUCGUAGAUAGUAAAUACUCUGUUGAAUAUUCUGUUGUGUCUCCUUUCAAAUGUUUUCGUUAUUGAGAGAGAAGUUUCGAAAUAAUCUUGUAACUUAUCGUAAUCCAGUUUUUCGUUUGAUGUCUCGUUUGAUUUAGCAUUUAUUUUAGAAAAUAAAUUUGGAUUUUCAUUCAACAUUUUUAUAGGUAUUUUCUUAAGACCUAUCUUUUUUAUUAUUUCGAAGUUUCUCUCGUUGAAUUAUGCUUUGUGCAUUUAAGGGUAACAUGCCCGCUUUACUCACCGUUGCUUCAUUUAUUUCGCAAUAUUUAUCGUUUGUUUAAAUGCUGUAUACAUUCCAUUCGUUACUAUAUAUGUAUAUGUACAUACGUAUACGUAUGAAUUUGUCUUCUCCCUCUCCCCUACAUACAUAUAUAUGUACAUUUAAUAAAUUUUUAAUAUAUUUUUGCGUAACCAAUUCCAAGGAAAAUGUAUAUUGUUUGGGCUUAUACGGAAUAACACUUGAAUGAGCAGUAAUAUAUCGCCAGGAAAUAAUUAAUUUAUAAUAUGAGUUUUGUUUGCGACUCUUAAAAAAGAUAUAAAAAUCAACAAAACACGUAUUCGUAAAUCGAUAAGAGUGUGUCAUUGUUAGCUACUAGGUAAAAGUCUAUGGUUCUUCAAGUAUUGAAAUGUUAAAGAAUAAGUUGCUGGCAUUAAUUAACUUAUGGAUGAAAUGUCAUUGUUAUAUUACGAUGUCGUAGAUUUAUUGUUCAUGUACAGAACAUUUGUGAAGUUUCCAUCGCAGAUGAACAUAAAGUUCCACGGGAUAUUCCAGUUGACAAUCAUUAAUGUUCACAGAAUAUUAACAAGCACUUAUACCUAUUAUUAGCAAAAUAGAAUGGUACUUUAUGCAGACUUUAUGUUUAAUUAGACGUUUAUCGUUCGUUGUAUUAUCGAUAAUAAUAUAUGCAAGUGUCGUAUUUUGAUAGCAGCUUUUCGAUGGUUAUUAAGUAAAGAUCAUAACAGGGUGAAUCGGUGAUAAUUGUGGGCUAUAUGUUGUAUACUUACCGGACGUAGUAAAAAUGUGCGGUAAAUGCUUAUACAUAUCAAGGGUUUUCAUAUAAGUGUUUCCAAUGUGUACGUUAGAUUAUGUUAUUCCCACUUUUAUUACGUACCUCUUUCAUUAAGAAUCCAACACGCAACAUGUCGGGAAAGAGAUUCCACGACUGGAUAUGAGAACGGUCUACUAGGUAAUAAACAAGAAAUUGGAAGAACAGUUUGCGUUACAACUGGAGGAACAAGAGGCGAUUUACGGGCCAAGCGCGAUACCAUUGUGCUUACCAGCAGAUCUUACCGACUUGACGCA